rnacentral:rRNA from 1 species
AAUGAACGCUGGCGGCGUGCCUAACACAUGCAAGUCGUACGAGAAAGGGGCUUCGGCCCUGAGUAGAGUGGCGCACGGGUGAGUAACGCGUGGGUAAUCUGCCCUUGGAUUUGGGAUAACUCUGCGAAAGUGGAGCUAAUACCGGAUGGACUGGCUUUGUAAUGAUAAGUCGGUAAAGGAUGCCUCUGCAUAUGCAUUCGUCCGAGGAUGAGCCCGCGUCUCAUUAGCUAGUUGGUAGGGUAAUGGCCUACCAAGGCAACGAUGAGUAGCCGGGCUGAAAGGAUGAUCAGCCACACUGGAACUGAAACACGGUCCAGACUCCUACGGGAGGCAGCAGUGGGGAAUAUUGCGCAAUGGGCGAAAGCCUGACGCAGCAACGCCGUGUGAGGGAUGAAGGCUUUCGGGUCGUAAACCUCUGUCAGAAGGGAAGAACGGGUGAGGGUCUAACAGGCCAUUAUUUUGACGGUACCUUCAGAGGAAGCACCGGCUAACUCCGUGCCAGCAGCCGCUGUAAGAC